CGCGUAGGCGGUCACUUAAGUCAGAUGUGAAAGCCCGGGGCUUAACCCCGGAACUGCAUUUGAAACUAAGUGACUUGAGUAUGGGAGAGGGAAGUGGAAUUCCUGGUGUAGCGGUGAAAUGCGUAGAUAUCAGGAGGAACACCGGUGGCGAAGGCGACUUCCUGGACCAAUACUGACGCUGAGGCGCGAAGGCGUGGGGAGCAAACA
rnacentral:rRNA from 1 species